AUACUUACCUGGCAGGGGAGAUACCAUGAUCACGAAGGUGGUUUUCCCAGGGCGAGGCUUAUCCAUUGCACUCCAGAUGUGCUGACCCCUGCGAUUUCCCCAAAUGUGGGAAAUUCAACUGCAUAAUUUGUGGUAGUGGGGGACUGCGUUCGUCCUUUU
rnacentral:snRNA from 1 species